rnacentral:rRNA from 1 species
UACACACCGCCCGUCACACCAUGGGAGUUGGUUGUACCAGAAGUAGGUAGUCUAACCGCAAGGAGGGCGCUUACCACGGCAUGGUCAAUGACUGGGGUG